rnacentral:rRNA from 1 species
UGGCCAGACAAGUCCGUUGGGAAAUCGACGUGCCUAACGCGUCGGCGUCCAGCGGAAACUGUCUGGCUUGGGACCGGAAGACCCGAGGGGUACGUCCGGGGUAGGAGUGAAAUCCCGUAAUCCUGGACGGACCACCGGUGGCGAAAGCGCCUCGGGAAGACGGAUCCGACAGUGAGGGACGAAAGCUGGGGUCUCGAACCGGAUUAGAUACCCGGGUAGUCCCAGCUGUAAACGAUGUCCGCUAGGUGUGCCGCAGGCUACGAGCCUGCGCUGUGCCGUAGGGAAGCCGUGAAGCGGACCGCCUGGGAA